CCUACGGGAGGCAGCAGUGGGGAAUUUUGGACAAUGGACGCAAGUCUGAUCCAGCCAUGCCGCGUGUGGGAAGAAGGCCUUCGGGUUGUAAACCACUUUUGUCAGGGAAGAAACGGCCUGGGAUAAUACCUUGGGCUAAUGACGGUACCUGAAGAAUAAGCACCGGCUAACUACGUGCCAGCAGCCGCGGUAAUACGUAGGGUGCAAGCGUUAAUCGGAAUUACUGGGCGUAAAGCGUGCGCAGGCGGUUAUGCAAGACAGAUGUGAAAUCCCCGGGCUCAACCUGGGAACUGCAUUUGUGACUGCAUGGCUAGAGUACGGUAGAGGGGGAUGGAAUUCCGCGUGUAGCAGUGAAAUGCGUAGAUAUGCGGAGGAACACCGAUGGCGAAGGCAAUCCCCUGGACCUGUACUGACGCUCAUGCACGAAAGCGUGGGGAGCAAACAGGAUUAGAUACCCUGGUAGUCCACGCCCUAAACGAUGUCAACUGGUUNUUGGGAGGGUUUCUCUCAGUAACGUAGCUAACGCGUGAAGUUGACCGCCUGGGGAAUCGGCCGCAAGGUUGAACUUAAAUGAAUUGACCGGNNGAGAGNGCGAGACGACGACGAGGGAGGAGG
rnacentral:rRNA from 1 species